GCUGUCUGUUCCGCGAGCAACGUUUAGAUAUGUUCACAGGUUGUGAGUUGUAUAACUCCGGUAAUGAUUCCGUUGGGGGUACCAGCGGAGGGAUCAUUA
rnacentral:rRNA from 1 species